UCGAGUGUUACAACUCCCAAACCAUUGUGAACCUACCUAUUGUUGCUUCGGCGGACCGCCCCGGCGCCCUCGGGCCCGGAUCCAGGCGCCCGCCGGAGACCCCAAACUCUUUGUUUUCUUGGUGUAUCCUCUGAGUAACAAGCAAAUAAAUCA
rnacentral:misc_RNA from 1 species